CUGAAACUAGCAUAUCAUAAGCGGAGGAAAAGAAACUAACAAGGAUUCCCCUAGUAACUGCGAGUGAAGCGGGAAAAGCUCAAAUUUAAAAUCUGGUGGCCUUUGGCCAUCCGAGUUGUAAUUUAGAGAAGCGUCUUCCGCGCUGGACCGUGCACAAGUCUCCUGGAAUGGAGCGUCGUAGAGGGUGAGAAUCCCGUCUUUGGCACGGACGCCCAGUGCUUCUGUGAUGCGCUCUCGAAGAGUCGAGUUGUUUGGGAAUGCAGCUCAAAAUGGGUGGUGAACUCCAUCUAAAGCUAAAUAUUGGCGAGAGACCGAUAGCGAACAAGUACCGUGAGGGAAAGAUGAAAAGCACUUUGGAAAGAGAGUGAAACAGUACGUGAAAUUGUUGAAAGGGAAACGCUUGAAGUCAGUCGCGUCGUCCGAGACUCAGCCUCGCCUCGGCUUGGUGUACUUCUCGGCCGACGGGUCAGCAUCAAUUUUGCCCCUUGGAUAAUGGCGAGGGAAAUGUGACACCUUUGCGGGUGUGUUAUAGUCUCUAGUCGCAUGCAAGGGUCGGGAUUGAGGAACUCAGCACGCGCCUUCGGGCGUCGGGGUUCGCCCACGAUACGUGCUUAGGAUGUUGGCGUAAUGGCUUUAAACGACCCGUCUUGAAACACGGACCAAGGAGUCUAACAUGCCCGCGAGUGUUCGGGUGGAAAACCCGUGCGCGCAAUGAAAGUGAAAGUUGGGACCUCUGUCGUGGAGGGCACCAACGCCCGGACCAGACCUUCUGUGACGGAUCUGCGGUAGAGCGUGUAUGUUAGGACCCGAAAGAUGGUGAACUAUGCCUGAAUAGGGUGAAGCCAGAGGAAACUCUGGUGGAGGCUCGUAGCGAUUCUGACGUGCAAAUCGAUCGUCAAAUUUGGGUAUAGGGGCGAAAGACUAAUCGAACCAUCC
rnacentral:rRNA from 1 species